CAAUAUUGUCUAAAUAUCUUAAAGGCACCAGAUCCCAUCUGAUCUUGGAAGCUCAGCAGAAACAUCCCCGGUUAGUAUUUAGAUGGGAGACUGCCAACAAGUACCAGUACUGUAGGCU
rnacentral:rRNA from 1 species